GGUCCGAUAGCUCAACUGGAUAGAGCAGCUGCCUUCUAAGCAGCAGGUUCCAGGUUCGAGUCCUGGUCGGAUCACAA
rnacentral:tRNA from 2 species